ACGGCUCAGUAACACGUGGACAACCUACCCUCAGGACGGGUAUAAACCCGGGAAACUGGGUAUAAUCCCCGAUAGUUCUCGACUGCUGGAAUGCAUCGAGGCCUAAAGCUCCGGCGCCUGAGGAUGGGUCUGCGGCCUAUCAGGUAGUAGUGGGUCUAAUGUACCUACUAGCCUACGACGGGUACGGGUUGUGAGAGCAAGAGCCCGGAGAUGGAUUCUGAGACACGAAUCCAGGCCCUACGGGGUGCAGCAGGCGCGAAAACUUUACAAUGCCGGCAACGGCGAUAAGGGAACCUCGAGUGCCAGGUUAUAAAUCUGGCUGUCGUAAUGCCUAAAAAGCAUUGCAUAGCAAGGGCCGGGCAAGACCGGUGCCAGCCGCCGCGGUAACACCGGCGGCUCGAGUGGUAACCGUUAUUAUUGGGUCUAAAGGGUCUGUAGCCGGCCGGAUAAGUCUCUUGGGAAAUCCAGCAGCUCAACUGUUGGGCUUUCAGGAGAUACUGUCUGGCUCGAGGCCGGGAGAGGUGAGAGGUACUUCAGGGGUAGGGGUGAAAUCUUGUAAUCCUUGAAGGACCACCAGUGGCGAAGGCGUCUCACCAGAACGGGCCUGACGGCAAGGGACGAAAGCUAGGGGCACGAACCGGAUUAGAUACCCGGGUAGUCCUGGCCGUAAACGAUACUCGCUAGGUGUCAGCCACGGUGCGACCGUGGUUGGUGCCGUAGGGAAGCCGUGAAGCGAGCCACCUGGGAAGUACGGCCGCAAGGCUGAAACUUAAAGGAAUUGGCGGGGGAGCAC
rnacentral:rRNA from 1 species